CCCCACCAGCGGGCACUGGCCCACAGCCACGGCCGGGGGGCCAUCUAGCUGGAGAGAGAAGGGACAGCAACUCCAUCCGCUCCUGCAGCUGCCGGACGUGUGCCUCUAGGUCCCGGUUCCGAGCCUCUGCCUCGCGUAGUUGACUGUGGGGAGGAACAAAUCAGGAUUCCCACCUGCCCAAGGCCUUUGCCCUUGAGGCUCUCGCCUGACCACCUGGCACCUUUCCUUCCAUGGCUGGUUUCUCCUUCACGAGCGCUCAGCUCAAAGAUCAACUUCUCAGAUCCCCAGCAACACACACACCCUUACUUAAUGCCCCACUGUAACUACAGAGACCAUCCCAUGUCUGAAGUAA
rnacentral:antisense_RNA from 1 species